rnacentral:rRNA from 1 species
AUUGAACGCUGGCGGCAGGCUUAACACAUGCAAGUCGAGCGGGGGAAGGUAGCUUGCUACCGGACCUAGCGGCGGACGGGUGAGUAAUGCUUAGGAAUCUGCCUAUUAGUGGGGGACAACAUCUCGAAAGGGAUGCUAAUACCGCAUACGUCCUACGGGAGAAAGCAGGGGAUCUUCGGACCUUGCGCUAAUAGAUGAGCCUAAGUCGGAUUAGCUAGUUGGUGGGGUAAAGGCCUACCAAGGCGACGAUCUGUAGCGGGUCUGAGAGGAUGAUACGCCACACUGGGACUGGAACACGGCCCAGACUCCUACGGGAGGCAGCAGUGGGGAAUAUUGGACAAUGGGGGGAACCCUGAUCCAGCCAUGCCGCGUGUGUGAAGAAGGCCUUAUGGUUGUAAAGCACUUUAAGCGAGGAGGAGGCUACUCUAGUUAAUACCUAGGGAUAGUGGACGUUACUCGCAGAAUAAGCACCGGCUAACUCUGUGCCAGCAGCCGCCGUAA